rnacentral:lncRNA from 1 species
UGAGUGUAGGUGAUCGUAAAUCGAGGCCAAAAUGCACAUUCAGUACAGAUUGGGCUUAGACAGAUGCAUAACUCAGACCGCGUAUGCCCAACCUCGUCAUGGUCUGAUCGAAUUCACCAUUCAUCGAGUAUAUUUGUACCCAAGUGUGGAGUGAUUGAUUAUAACCCUAUUUGAUUUUGAUGCGCUCAAAGCAUUUGAGUAUUUCUUAUGAGUACUAAUGAAUUCAAUCUAGUGUUUCAGUGAAAAUCUUGUAAAUUUUAUGGUUAAGUGUCUCUAGAUUUGGUUAAGACAUUUUGGAUAAGUUAAGAAG